rnacentral:snRNA from 1 species
AGCUUUGCACAGUGGCAGUAUCAUACCCAAUGAGGUUUAUCCGAGGCGUGAUUACUGCUAAUUAAAAUUUACCUCAAUACCUUUGAUUUUUAGAAAAAUGAAACCAAGAAGUUAAGACUCCAAGAUGAGU